rnacentral:rRNA from 1 species
AGGGAAUCUUCGGCAAUGGACGGAAGUCUGACCGAGCAACGCCGCGUGAGUGAAGAAGGUUUUCGGAUCGUAAAGCUCUGUUGUAAGAGAAGAACGAGUGUGAGAGUGGAAAGUUCACGCUGUGACGGUAUCUUACCAGAAAGGGACGGCUAACUACGUGCCAGCAGCCGCGGUAAUACGUAGGUCCCGAGCGUUAUCCGGAUUUAUUGGGCGUAAAGCGAGCGCAGGCGGUUAGAUAAGUCUGAAGUUAAAGGCUGUGGCUUAACCAUAGUACGCUUUGGAAACUGUUUAACUUGAGUGCAGAAGGGGAGAGUGGAAUUCCAUGUGUAGCGGUGAAAUGCGUAGAUAUAUGGAGGAACACCGGUGGCGAAAGCGGCUCUCUGGUCUGUAACUGACGCUGAGGCUCGAAAGCGUGGGGAGCAAACAGGAUUAGAUACCCUGGUAGUCCACGCCGUAAACGAUGAGUGCUAGGUGUUGGGUCCUUUCCGGGACUCAGUGCCGCAGCUAACGCAUUAAGCACUCCGCCUGGGGAGUACGACCGCAAGGUUG